UACGUAGGGGGCAAGCGUUGUCCGGAUUUAUUGGGCGUAAAGCGCUCGCAGGUGGUCCGCUGCGUCGUGCGUGAAAGACCCCGGCUCAACUGGGGGGUGUCGUGCGAUACGGGCGGACUGGAGGCCAGUAGGGGGAUGCGGAAUUCCGGGUGUAGUGGUGGAAUGCGUAGAGAUCCGGAGGAACACCAGCGGCGAAGGCGGCAUCCUGGACUGGUCCUGACACUCAUGAGCGAAAGCGUGGGGAGCGAUCCGG
rnacentral:rRNA from 1 species